GACGAACGUUGGCGGCGUGCCUAAUACAUGCAAGUCAACUGAAAUACCGGUAGCAAUACUGGUAUGGAGGUGGCGCACGGGUGAGUAACACGUAGGUAAUCUGCCUUCAGGUCUGACAUAACCCAUCGAAAGGUGAGCUAAUAUCAGAUGAUGCAGCGGCUUGACAUCAAGACAGUUGUUAAAGCUUCGGCGCCUGAAGAUGAGCCUGCGUCUGAUUAGCUAGUUGGCGGGGUAACGGCCACCAAGGCUGCGAUCAGUAGCUGGUCUGAGAGGAUGAUCAGUCACACUGGAACUGAGACACGGUCCAGACUCCUACGGGAGGCAGCAGUAAGGAAUAUUGCUCAAUGGCCGAAAGGCUGAAGCAGCAACGCCGCAUGAGGGA
rnacentral:rRNA from 1 species